rnacentral:rRNA from 1 species
AGAGUUUGAUCAUGGCUCAGAAUCAACGCUGGCGGCGCGCUUAACACAUGCAAGUCGAGCGAGAAAGUGGAGCAAUCCAUGAGUAAAGCGGCGUACGGGUGAGUAACACGUGGGUAAUCUACCUUUUAGUGGGGAAUAACCCUGGGAAACCGGGGCUAAUACCGCAUAAUCCUGUAAAGGGAAAGCAGCGAUGCGCUGAAAGAGGAGCCCGCGGCCGAUUAGCUAGUUGGUGAGGUAACGGCUCACCAAGGCGGUGAUCGGUAGCCGGCCUGAGAGGGCACACGGCCACACUGGCACUGAAACACGGGCCAGACUCCUACGGGAGGCAGCAGUGGGGAAUCUUGCACAAUGGAGGCAACUCUGAUGCAGCGACGCCGCGUGAGCGAUGAAGCCCCUCGGGGUGUAAAGCUCUUUCGGCAGGGACGAUAAUGACGGUACCUGAAGAAGAAGCUGCGGCUAACUACGUGCCAGCAGCCGCGGUAAUACGUAGGCAGCGAGCGUUGUUCGGAAUUACUGGGCGUAAAGAGUGUGUAGGCGGUGCUCUAAGUUCGGUGUGAAAUCUCCCGGCUUAACUGGGAGGGUGCGCCGGAAACUGGAGUGCUCGAACGUGGGAGAGGAAAGCGGAAUUCCUGGUGUAGCGGUGAAAUGCGUAGAUAUCAGGAGGAACACCUGCGGUGUAGACGGCUUUCUGGACCAUUGUUGACGCUGAGACACGAAAGCGUGGGUAGCAAACAGGAUUAGAUACCCCCGUAGUCC